rnacentral:tRNA from 1 species
AACUUAUAGUUCUAAAAGUGAACUUUUCAUUUACACUGAAAGUGUUCCUGUGCAAUUCAGGAUUAGUUGAUU